rnacentral:rRNA from 1 species
AAUAGAUACCCUGGUAGUCCACGCCCUAAACGAUGUCUACUAGUUGUCGGGUCUUCAUUGACUUGGUAACGCAGCUAACGCGUGAAGUAGACCGCCUGGGGAGUACGGUCGCAAGAUUAAAACUCAAAGGAAUUGACGGGGACCCGCACAAGCGGUGGAUGAUGUGGAUUAAUUCGAUGCAACGCGAAAAACCUUACCUACCCUUGACAUGGUCGGAACCCUGAAGAGAUUCGGGGGUGCUCGAAAGAGAACCGAUACACAGGUGCUGCAUGGCUGUCGUCAGCUCGUGUCGUGAGAUGUUGGGUUAAGUCCCGCAACGAGCGCAACCCUUGUCAUUAGUUGCUACGAAAGGGCACUCUAAUGAGACUGCCGGUGACAAACCGGAGGAAGGUGGGGAUGACGUCAAGUCCUCAUGGCCCUUAUGGGUAGGGCUUCACACGUCAUACAAUGGUGCAUACAGAGGGUUGCCAACCCGCGAGGGGAGCCAAUCCCAGAAAGUGCAUCGUAGUCCGGAUUGCAGUCUGCAACUCGG